rnacentral:rRNA from 1 species
CCUACGGGUGGCAGCAGUGGGGAAUAUUGGACAAUGGGGGCAACCCUGAUCCAGCCAUGCCGCGUGUGUGAAGAAGGCCCUCGGGUUGUAAAGCACUUUCAGUGAGGAAGAACGCCUGGUGGUUAAUACCCAUCAGGAAAGACAUCACUCACAGAAGAAGCACCGGCUAACUCCGUGCCAGCAGCCGCGGUAAUACGGAGGGUGCGAGCGUUAAUCGGAAUUACUGGGCGUAAAGCGCGCGUAGGUGGCUUGAUAAGCCGGUUGUGAAAGCCCCGGGCUCAACCUGGGAACGGCAUCCGGAACUGUCAAGCUAGAGUGCAGGAGAGGAAGGUAGAAUUCCCGGUGUAGCGGUGAAAUGCGUAGAGAUGGGGAGGAAUACCAGUGGCGAAGGCGGCCUUCUGGACUGACACUGACACUGAGGUGCGAAAGCGUGGGUAGCAAACAGGAUUAGAUACCCUAGUAGUC